rnacentral:rRNA from 1 species
UACGUAGGUGACCAGCGUUGUCCGGAUUUACUGGGCGUAAAGAGCGCGCAGGCGGUCGUUCAAGUCGAGUGUGAAAGCCCCCGGCUCAACUGGGGAGGGUCAUUCGAUACUGAUCGACUCGAAGGCAGGAGAGGGAAGCGGAAUUCCCGGUGUAGUGGUGAAAUGCGUAGAUAUCGGGAGGAAUACCAGUGGCGAAGGCGCUGUCCUGGACGAAGAUUGACGCUGAGGUGCGAAAGCGUGGGGAGCAAACAGG